ACUAAAUUAGCAUGCAUGCUAGACUAGGAGGCGUCUCUCUGAAUCUGCGAACGGCUCCGCACACCAGUUGUAAAACCCUGCACGUCUUGCCAUCGCCGGGUAGUUUAUUCUGCUGGGCUUUGGUGCCCCCUUGGCUUCGGCUGGGGGGGGUUUAAUUGGAUAUCCCUGGUAAUUCUGGGGCUAAUACAUGACCUUAACACAGAACUCCCCCUCUAUCUAACAAGCAGCAAUGCCAUGUGGUCCGAGGGGGGGCGAUGUGCGAAUACAAAUGCCUGGAUUUAUUCCUCGCGAGUUGAGCGCACGUCUAAACCUGCGGGCACUUCGAGUGCCACUGGGCUUCGUAUUGACGGGAAACGCGUGCCGGUUACACUUAUGGGAUCCGUCCCAAUAGAGGACCCGGACCCCCGGGCUAUCAAGCCGGACCUGGGUUCGCCCUUGUUCGGUGGCUGCGGGGGAACGCGCGAACACUCCGAUUGCGCUGCUCGGGCGGGUGUGUGCCAUAGGCUUCUGACCUAUCAACUAGAAUGCUGUGUAAUGGACUGCAGUGGUGACAACGGGUACAGAGGAUUAGGGUUCGAUCCUGGAGAGUGGGCCUGAGAGAUUGCUCCUACUUCUAAGGAAGGCAGCAGGCGCGCAAAGUUCCCAUUGGGUACCCGACAGGGCCCGAGGGCGUUAGGGGAAAUAUGAAUGGCUGUCUUAAUAGCGGCCAAUUCAAAUGGGUCUGUCUUAAACAGGCUCUCGAGUAACAAUUGGAGGACAAGUCUGGUGCCAGCACCCGCGGUAAUUCCAGCUCCAAUAGCAUACGUUAAAGUUGUUGCGGUUAAAACGCUCGUAGUCGCGAUAGAGCCCUUGGAGUAGGCUGGAGAGAGGCACGGCUCCGUGGUCAGUAUGUAGAGUGGCGUCUUCGGAAAUGCCUGACUGCUGGCGCGUUCUUGCACGGCCAGGAUCUUGUCCUGUGAUGGGGGUCACUUAGUGUCCAGGCUCGCAUAACGGUCGUUCCCUCACAGGGCGCGAUGUCGAGACAGGUAAAACUGCCGCUCGGCUGUACGCUCCUUUGCGGUGAUAACAGCGUGAUAGCAGGCACUGCUUCCUCCGCAUGGGC
rnacentral:rRNA from 1 species